GUGGCCAAGUUUUUAAGGGCGCAUGGUGGAUGCCUUGGCACCAGGAACCGAUGAAGGACGUGGGAGGCCGCGAUAGGCCCCGGGGAGCUGUCAACCGAGCUGUGAUCCGGGGGUGUCCGAAUGGGGAAACCCGGCAGUCGUCAUGGGCUGUCACCCGCUGCUGAAUGUAUAGGCAGUGUGGAGGGAACGCGGGGAAGUGAAACAUCUCAGUACCCGCAGGAAGAGAAAACAACAGUGAUUCCGGGAGUAGUGGCGAGCGAAACUGGAUGAGGCUAAACCGUUUGUGUGUGAUACCCGGCAGGGGUUGCGCAGGCGGGGUUGUGGGAGCGAGCUUUUGCGGUCUGCCGGCCGUGAGGUGAGUGAUAAACCGUUGCGAUAGACGAAGGGCAUGCGAAAGGCCCGGCGUAGAGGGUAAGACCCCCGUAGUUGAAAUCGUAGCGGCUUGCUUGCUUGUUUCCCAAGUAGCACGGGGCCCGAGAAAUCCCGUGUGAAUCUGGCGGGACCACCCGCUAAGCCUAAAUAUUCCCUGGUGACCGAUAGCGGAUAGUACCGUGAGGGAAUGGUGAAAAGUACCGCGGGAGCGGAGUGAAAGAGUACCUGAAACCGUGUGCCUACAAGCCGUGGGAGCGUCGCCGUUGUUUCUUCGGAGACUUCGGUCGUGACUGCGUGCCUUUUGAAGAAUGAGCCUGCGAGUUAGCGGUGUGUAGCGAGGUUAACCCGUGUGGGGUAGCCGUAGCGAAAGCGAGUCCUAGCUGGGCGUUGAGUUGCACGCUCUAGACCCGAAGCGGGGUGAUCUAGCCAUGGGCAGGGUGAAGCGGCUGUAAGAGGUCGUGGAGGCCCGAACCCACCAGGGUUGAAAACCUGGGGGAUGACCUGUGGUUAGGGGUGAAAGGCCAAUCAAACUCCGUGAUAGCUGGUUCUCCCCGAAAUGCAUUUAGGUGCAGCGUCGUGUGUUGCUUGCCGGAGGUAGAGCUACUGGAUAGGCGAUGGGCCUUACCGGGUUACUGACCUUAGCCAAACUCCGAAUGCCGGUAAGUUGAGCGCGGCAGUGAGACUGCGGGGGAUAAGCUCCGUGGUCGAGAGGGAAACAGCCCAGAGCAUCGACUAAGGCCCCUAAGCGUAUGCUAAGUGGGAAAGGAUGUGGAGUCGCAGAGACAACCAGGAGGUUGGCUUAGAAGCAGCCAUCCUUGAAAGAGUGCGUAAUAGCUCACUGGUCAAGUGAUUCCGCGCCGACAAUGUAGCGGGGCUCAAGCGUACCGCCGAAGUCGUGUCAGCAGCACAAUAGCCUUAACGGGUGUGUUGUUGGGUAGGGGAGCGUCGUGUGCCGGGUGAAGCCGCACUGUAAGGUAGUGGUGGACGGUUCGCGAGUGAGAAUGCAGGCAUGAGUAGCGAUACACACGUGGGAAACGUGUGCGCCGAUUGACUAAGGGUUCCUGGGUCAAGUUGAUCUGCCCAGGGUAAGUCGGGGCCUAAGGCGAGGCCGACAGGCGUAGUCGAUGGAUAACCGGUUGAUAUUCCGGUACCCGCUGUGAAGCGCCAAACAUUGAAUCAGGUGAUGCUAAGCCCGUGAAGCCCCCUUGUUGAUCCUUCGGGUGAGAUGGGGUGUGGUGGAGCCGGUGACCCGAGCUUGUAGUAGGUGAGUGAUGGGGUGACGCAGGAAGGUAGUCCAGCCCGGGCGGUGGUUGUCCGGGUAAAGGUGUGGCCUGAGAGCAGGUAAAUCCGUCUCUCGUG
rnacentral:rRNA from 1 species